rnacentral:rRNA from 1 species
CUAAGAAUAUUCCGCAAUGGACGAAAGUCUGACGGAGCGACGCCGCGUGGAUGAAGAAGGCCGAAAGGUUGUAAAGUUCUUUUGCUAGGGGAGAAUAAGUGAGGGAGGGAAUGCCCUCAUGAUGACAAGGACUAGCGAAUAAGCCCCGGCCAACUACGUGCCAGCAGCCGCGGUAACACGUAGGGGGCGAGCGUUGAUCGGAAUUACUGGGCGUAAAGGGCAUGUAGGCGGCUUGGUAAGCCUGGCGUGAAAGACGGCAGAUUAACUGUAGGAUGCGUUGGGAACUGCUUAGCUUGAGUUACGGAGAGGGAGCUGGAAUGCCUGGUGUAGGGGUGAAAUCUGUAGAUAUCAGGAAGAACACCGAUGGCGAAGGCAAGCUUCUGGUCGAUAACUGACGCUGAGGUGCGAAAGUGUGGGGAUCAAACA